GCCGAGGCAGGAGGACUGCCCAUGAGUUGUAGGCCAGCCUAGACUCCAUUUCAAGCAACCCGAACCACAAAACAAUUCUCUUAAGAAAGUGGAAAUCAAGGGACCUUUCUAGGGUCCUUAGUGACAGGGUUGUUAAGGCUACCCCACCACAGCCUUUAAGUUGAGGGGAGCCAGUGGGCUUGGGAGGGGCCAGGGACUUCUGAGACCCAUAGAAAUUCUACUUCUUCCUUGGGGCUGUCCUGAGCCAGCAGGUCAGCUGUAGACUCAGUCCCAGGAUUACAGCUGGGAAUCCCCGGCUUCCAGUGGCAGCAGAUGAGCUGACAUGGCCCAGUGCCACACCCUUGGCUAUUGGGAAGCCAGGAUUGGAGACCAGGCAUGCAACUACUUAUAAUAUGCCAUCGGGCCAGGGCAGGGUGACCAAGAAGGACGACAGGACAGGAUCAGGAGGGGACUUGUUGGAGAACAAAAGGGGGGUUAUAGCAAAGGAAGGGGAGGGCUUCCUGUCUAGCCUAGAUGAUGGUCCCAAUAGGGGGUCCUGCAGCCCCCUCCACAAACUAUGACCCAUUCAUCCUGAGCCUGGCCCUGUACCAGGCUGUUGGGGGGACUGGAGGCCCACUGACAUUCAGGCUGCUGCUACCCAGCCACCAUCUUCCUUACAUACCUGCCAGUCCCCUCCUCUCCACCCUCCCCCAUGUCUUCCUUAAUCCAUCCUUAUGGAGUAUCCUCAGAGAGGCUCCGGACACUGCCCUACGGUCUAAGGCUGUGCAUGCUUGCCUAGACGGGACUCUCCGUUGCUUUCCAUAUCCCGUUGUUCCAAGGUAGGUCCCCGCUGGCCACCAAACCGAUCCCCACUUCUCUCAUGUGUCUAGCUGCUGUUUGGGGGGUUCCCACCCCUCCCAGAGUGCUCCUGCAGGCGGGGAUGCCCCCCCUGCUCCCUCAUUGUCCAGUCAUCUCUGUGACCUCUAGCUGCACACAGUUCAACCUGGAGACCAGCACCAGGCCUGCAGCUUGGCACUGAAAGCUGCCCUCUCUUUCCCAGGUUCUGUGGAGUCUGGCUUCUCUCCUGGAGAGCUGUUGGGAGCUUUUCUGGUAAAGUAAAAAAUCCCUCAGCCUCUGGGAGAAGCCAAUGGGAUAAGAGGAGGGGGUGGGACCAGGUCCGUUGCUGAUGAGUGCUUUCUGGUGAAUGUGGGUACAGAGAGGGUCAGUCACUGAUCUAAGAUCACAUAGAAGUUUGGGGAAAAUCCAGGACUGGACCUGUCUCUCUGAGGGGUCUUUUCUUCAGCCAUUCUGGGUGAGGUCAGCUGGUGCAUGGGCCUUGUGGGCCAGAGUGGCUGUUUUGUAUUGCUCUGGGGGGAGGGACUUGGCACUGCUCUGGUAGGAGGCGGCUUGCCUAUGGUUCUUUCAUGCUCUUUCUCUCGAACCCCUGGGGAAUGCCUGAGUCAUCGCUGAGCGGCAAACAUAUUUAGCCUCUUUCAUCGUCCCUAAUAAAUCAACUUCUCCAGUUCUCUCAUACCUGCCUCCAACUCCAGGCUGCCUGCCCCCAUCUCCUGUCGCCUGACAUCUGGGCACUGCAGAGACUUCCAGCCCCCAGGUUCCUGGCAGUGGUCCCCUGGCCAUUUCCUCUCUCUCCCCAGGCAUUCUGGGCCGGGCGCGGCCUCCUCGUGCUGGGCUGGCCUGCAUUCAACAGCUGCGGUCUGGAGCCCUUCAGAGCUUCCUCCAGCUAGGCGCUGCCUGGCAUGGAUGCAGGGAUCAGCAACAUCCGCCACAGCUCAGCCCUGACCCUGACCACCACCUCAGCGCCCUCUCAGCCCACAGCGGCUUGUGUUGGGGCCCAGGGAAGUUCCCCAAACACCUUACCUCAUCCUGUCUCUCACAGGCCAGGUUGGCUGGAGGACCCCAGGCCUUUCCUGGGCUUGGAUUUCAUGGCACCUCCCUCAGGAAGCCUCCCGAUGACCUCCUUCCCUUCCUUGGUGGGCAGUCUGAGGCUCUGAAUGCUGAAGAAAUUAUUUAAGACACGGAGAGAGUCAGCCCUUGAACCCAGGCCUCUCAUGGCUGCCCCUGCACACAGUUUGACCUGGCGCCUGGCUCAAGAACCUGCCCACCAAAGGCCACCAAUAGAAGGGAGACCUGGAGUUUGAGUCUUUACAGGCAAGGAAAGAAGACCCCAAAGAAGCAGGAAGGUGACAGGAGACGUCCAGUGUCCCCGCCGCUCUCACCUGAUGGCCUCAAUCCACUGAUCGCGCUCCUCGGCAUUGGCGGCUGAGAUACGUGCUGGGAAUUGACCAGGGCCUCACACAUGUAAGGCCCACACUCUAACAUGGAUCUACAGCCCUAGCCCAGGAAACACAACUUAAGGGACAUCCAGCCCUCAGCUGCCCUAAGUAUGACACUUGCUGGCUGUGUGACCUUGAGAAGAUGCCCUAACCCUGCCGAGUCUUGGGCUGUUCAAGGACCAGCACCUCAUGUUCAAUAGUCCUGAACAGAGGGAUCCUGCUAGACUCUUCUCUCUGUCCCUCUGGGAGAGAAACAGAGCUGUCACAGAGCCUCUGUCCCCUACUGCUCCCUUAUAUCUAGCCUCCUCCUGCCACCUGCACCCCCAAGACAGAUGGAUGGGGAGAAGGGUAGGUGUUUUUAUGUAUAUGUGGAUGGAUGGAUAUAUGGGUGGG